UCCUCCGAGUAGACCGACAAUGGCGGCCGCGGAGGGCUCUUCGCCGGAGCCGGCGACGGCGACUUCCGAACAACCCGCGGAGCUGCCUGCUUCGGUGCGGGCGAGCAUCGAGCGGAAGCGGCAGCGGGCGCUUAUGCUGCGCCAGGCCCGGCUGGCGGCCCGGCCCUACCCGGCGACGACGGGCGCGGCUACCGGAGGUGUGGCUAAUGUGAAAGCCCCCAGAAUAAUUGACACAGGGGGAGGCUUCAUUCUGGAAGAGGAAGAAGAGGAGCAUAAAGUAGGGAACAUUGUUCAUCAACCAGGGCCGGUCCUGGAGUUUGACUAUGCCAUAUGUGAAGAGUGUGGGAAGGAGUUUAUGGACUCGUACCUCAUGAGCCACUUUGAUUUGGCCACCUGUGAUAACUGCAGAGAUGCUGACGAUAAACACAAGCUUAUAACCAAAACAGAAGCAAAACAAGAAUACCUUCUGAAAGACUGCGAUUUGGAAAAAAGAGAGCCAGCUCUUAAAUUUAUCGUGAAGAAGAAUCCUCAUCAUUCGCAGUGGGGUGACAUGAAACUCUACUUAAAGCUGCAGGUUGUGAAGAGGUCUCUUGAAGUUUGGGGCAGUCAGGAUGCUCUGGAAGCAGCCAAGGAAGUUCGACAGGAAAACCGGGAAAAAAUGAAACAGAAGAAGUUUGAUAAAAAAGUCAGAGAACUGCGGCGAGCAGUGAGAAGCAGUGUGUGGAAAAGGGAAACAACUGCUCACCAACACGAGUAUGGACCUGAGGAAAACAUAGAUGACGACAUGUACCGGAAGUGCUGUACUGUGUGCGGCCAUGAACUGACAUACGAAAAAAUGUGAUUUUUAGGAACCAGAGAUGGUGCCAGUUCUAUGUGCAAGACAUGGGGAGCCACUGCUGGAAAAAGUCCUGAAAAAGAGGCAUGCACAGUGAGUUGAAGGCGUCAGCUUUGACCCUAGUGUCUGGGGAGCCCUUUUCAAGUGGCAGUUUAAAAUGGGCACAUGGAUCAAAGUCUGCAGGUACUGCUAACAUGUACUCUGUACUCCGCUAAUGCCAGGCAAGCACUCUGCUUAGGCUUCCAACAGCACUUCUAGGGGAACAGAAUGAGAACCUACAGUCUCAUGUCACCCCAGGCAUUGGAAUCAGGCUGCGUCAAAGCUUUCAGGUAGAUGCACGUUCCCAUACAGCCCUGAGUCCUGGGUGUGGACCUGGGCCACAUUACUCCAGGGUCCUGUUUUUGUCUAAACAUGGUCGACUACAGCAGCCCAGUGUGUUCACCUUCAUCAAUUGCAGACAAUCCUGUCAGCCACAUCUACUGUAUCCAGGUUGGCAAGGUCUUUCCUCAUCUUUCUACAUUCACAUGACAAAAGCCUGUUUGUACAGUACUGAAUGCACCAUAUGAUGUGUAGCGAGAUGCUUGCUCAUGUACCUUUAUUUCUUCCAAGUUCAAUCCCUCCUUCAGUUUUCCCGUAUACCCAGCAGCCAGGUAAGAGGGUUACAUCACUGCCCAGCUGUUAGAAGCAACUGUUAUGCAUGAGGAGGAGAUCAAGAAAAGAAAACGGAAGCUACACACUUAUGUAGAAUGUGGAUUCAAACUCUGCAAUGCAUUAGGAAAGGGUUACAAAAGUCAAAUAGUUACCAGAGCUGCCAGUGGGUAUUCUCUGGCUGAACCACCUUCAUCUGGUGCUGAAGCAAUGGGAAGGAGAAACAACAUAAACAAGAUGUGGUCAAGAACCUGGAGGUGAAAGGAUACUACAAGAAAGAAGCAUUCAAACCAGCAAAAACAAAUUAUUUUAAGAUACUUAAAAAAUCCUGAUGGGAGAAAAUGGCCACUAGGCCUGCAGAGCACAGAACUGCUGGAACACAGCAAGGAUAUGAGGGUCCAGUUCAGCAGUGAAGAGGAGGUUCUCCAGGGUCACCAUGUACUGCUGGAUGAUCUGGUGAUGCUGCAAACACCGAAAAAGGGGACUUGAGGGCAGGAAAAAGCACAGACGCAAUCCUGUAGAACAUUUCCCCAGCAGUCUACACACACUGCAGCAAGGAGAGGUCGGAAAGAGUCUAUCAUGCAAUAGGAAUACUGGGCUACUGAGAAGCCCCGACAUUAAGAAAAUACAGCGAGAAAUUAGACCCAUGAGUGUUCAACAACUUAAUCUAGUUCUUUAUCAGCUUCUAGGUAAAGGCAGUUCCUGAUUCAAGGAGUGGCAGUAGCACCUGCUUGCUACUACUCCUGUUGUCACAGAUUAAGCAGGGGAGAACCCAGCUGACCCUAAAGACAUAACUUCUAAAAGCCAGGCAGACAGCAGGGGAGAACCCAGCUGACCCUAAAGACAUAACUUCUAAAAGCCAGGCAGACAGCAAUAGACCUAAGAAGAUAAAGCAUCAGAAGAUGAAAGAUUUUCUUUUACGUGCGCCUAUAUAUACCUGAAUACACUUGGAGACUGCUGUAGAAAUAAGAGCUGUGACAGCUUUUUUAAAGAAUGGACAAUAACUAUGGGGUGGGUGUUUGGCACAGUAGUUAAGAUGCUGCUUGGGCCACCCACGUCCUGGGUCCGAGUGCUGAAGUUCAUGUCUCUCUCCGCUCUAAUUCUAGCUUCCUGCUAAGGUGCACUCUGGAGAACAGCGGGUAAUGGCUUAGAGACUGCAGCCCCUGUGGGAGACCCGGACUAAGUUUUAGGCUCUCGAUUUCAGAUUGCCCCGCCCAGGCUGUUGCGGGCACUGGAGAAUGAAUGGGCACAUGGAAGAUCUUUGUGUUUCAAAUAAAAUGAACAUUUUUUCUUAAGGGAAUUUCUAUUUAAAGACUUAACGAUUUUUUUUUUUUUUUAAAAGGUCAGGGAACACGAGUGCUGGUGCACUCUGCUACCUGUCCUGCAACUGCAGAGCCCGUAGGGAGCUCGCCUGGUUUCUGGGCACUGCUGAUUAUCUGUACUCUAGACCUGUAAGGACUUUACCUGCAGGAAGAUCUGCUGGAGUCUUUCUAUACAGUUCUUGUACCAUGGCGUUAACACACUGGUCCCAUCAGUCUCACAUCGUACUAAAUGUUCAGUCAAGAUCAUGAUAAAGCGCUGGAAAGGGAACAUGAGGUUGAAGUAUUAGAGCAUCAUCCACCAGAAACAAAUUCAUGACAGAGACCUCAACGGAUUGCUUGUUCCAACCUGUCUUCGGGACAUGUGCUCCUAGCUUUCAUAGUUCAUUAGACACCAUCGAUCAAGAAUGGUGGUAAUGUGACUUGGUACAAUUUUUUUGGCAGUACAUAAAGACCUUUAAUAUCUAAAUUGCUUUUGCUACUAACAGUAUUUCUUGGCAUCUAUUCUAAAGGAGAUGAUCAGAAAUGUUAACAGAAGUCUAUGUACAAAACUAUCAGGAAGAAUCAUCUACAUAAUCAACAGGAAAUAAUCAUGAAAUAUGCAGCAAGUGUUUAACAAAAGCAACUCCAAGUUGUUUUUACAGCACAGGGAAACAUUCAUGCAAGAGUACAAGUUACCAGCACAGCAGCUGGAGGGACAUGUUGGACCUCCCAUAAUGAACGUUUAUUGUUUUUAUAAACUUCUGUAUUUCAAAACUUCUGUAAAUGAGUAUGUACUUUUGUGAUUAAAAAAAUAUUUAAGGGCCAGUGCUGUGGCACAGCAGGUUAAAGACCUGGCCUGUAGCACUAGCAUCCCAUGUGGGUGUUGGUUCAAGUCCUGGCUUCUCUAUUUUCUGAUCCAGCUCCCUGCUAAUGUGCCUGGGAAAGCAGUGGAGGAUGGCCCAAGUGCUUGGGUUCCUGCACCCAUGUGGGAGACUUGGAAGCUCCUGGCUUUGGAGUGGCCCAGCUCCAGCCAUUUGGGGAGUAAACCAGCAGGUGGAAGACCUCUCUUUCUUUCUGUAAACUCUGCCUUUCAAAUAAAUCUUUUAAAAAAUUUUUUAUACCUAAGAAAUGAAUUGUUUGCGUUUACGUACAAUGUCCCAUGCCAUGAUACCUGAAAUAUGACGAGGAAGAGGUUCUUUUGUUCACUCUGAGCAGAUUCCACUUUUUCCUGUAGUCUCUCUAUUUGCUCCUCAAGGGCCCCAUCUUUCCUGUCACUGCUUCUGUCGUCAUCGUCACUCCGCUACAGCAGGCAAAGGAACACAAAACAGCUUUUAGGAUUGCAGUGUAUUAAAACCCCAUGAGCAAGGGGAAGGGUCUUACUUUGAUCAAAUGCUACCUAAGGACAUGUUCUCAGAGUCCUGCUGUUGUUCCAAGAAGUUCCAUGGGUGCUCGCUGAGGCCAGGGCAAUGUCGUGGCUCCUGUCCAAUGAUGGUGCAGGCUGCUGGCUAUAACAUCAUCACCAUCUGACCAUCUGCACAGUGGCAACAGGGAGGCAGUCUGCUCACCCUUCAGCCCCUAAAGGGCAAGACGGAAAAGCUGGGCAGGCCCUUCUGUAGCUCAUAAGCCACAGGCUGCUCUUCCUUGUCCUAAGUAGAAACGGCUGUGACUAACAUAGUAAUUCCAAACAGACUGCUACAAGAGUUUGCAGGCAAGCAUGGGCUCAAUGCAUCCUCCCAGCUCACCUGGAGGGCUAUGCAGCAUCUGCUUAGGUUUCUACAAACAAGGUGUAAUUGGGGCUGGCUCUGUGGCACAGCAGGUAAGCAACCACCUGACUCCAUCAUCCCAUACGGGCCCUGCUUCAUAUCCCAGCUGCUCCACUUCCAAUCCAGCUCCCCACUAAUGUGCCUUGGAAAGCAGUGGAGGGUAGCCCAAGUCCUCGGGCUCCUGUACCCACAGGGGGAGACCUGGAAGGAGCUCCUGGCUUUGGCCUGGCCCAGUGAUGGCUAUAUGGGCCAUUUGUGGAGUGAACCAAUAGAUGAAAGAUCUCUUUGCCUUCUAAAUAUAUAUAAAAUGAAACAAACCCCACAAAACUUAACAAAAACCAAAACCAAAGUAUAGUUUAUACUUUAUAGAGGAGGGAACAGGCUGAGAGGUUAGGACUCUCCUGUUAGAUUCACCUAAUAGGAAGUGGCAGCCAGAACCUGGUUCUAGGCAUGUCGCAUACCAAGGUCCUUUCAGCAAAGGCAGACAUCACUGACCCUCAAAACCCUGCUAACCCCUCUCUAGAAGAUGAUGGCCUCCCCUACUCUUACAGGAGCCUGCUUUAUCAGAGUCUUUUACUUACCAGACUCCUUUUCUGAUUUCAAAGAAUUCACUUUGAUCUGACAGCACUUGUCUGAGAUCAGCCCACUAUGUUCUAGGCACCUAGGUACGGCAAUGCCUUCUAACACGAAGGGCACUGGUGCCCAGCCAAAUGUUCUGCAACCGGGGACAUGUUAAAUGAACCCGAGCUGUCUGUAGCUGUAUGUGGCUACUGAACACUGGAGAUGCAGGCUGUCUGGCCAGGGAACCGAGUUCUAAAUUGUGUUUCGUGUUAACUAAAUAGUCCCCAAGGCCACUCCUGGACGGCACAUUUCUGGAGAACAGUGCGACACCGCAGAGUCUCUGCAGUCGGGCAGACCUGAGUCAGAACCUCGCUCCAGCUGUCACUUACUAGCUGAGUAACCCUGAUCAAACUAACUUCUCUGAGCUCCAAUUUAUGCAUCUAUAAAAUGAAAUGACACUGUUCACCUUGCAGUUGUUUAGGUUUUUGAGUGUGGAUUUACAGCUGAGUAUGUAUAUUCAAGUAUAUUUAUUCAUAUGUAGAGACCGGCACUCAAACUGCCUGUAGGUUCACAUACGCAGUAAACCUUUUUAAAACCUACCCUGCUAUUAUAAUGCUAGAAAAUCUGGUCAUUAUACCAGCACUGUCCCGCUAAGCCACAGAACACAGCCAGCUCACCGAAACACUGACGUCUCACUACUGGAAGUAGCUGGUCAGCAUGGACUGACUGCCUCAUCCCUGCACGCAGCACAGGGCAAGUCUCCCUUUUCCCCUCCAGUACAGAGACUCUCAGAAGUGUUCUCAUCCCUUCUCUCCUUUUGGGAAGUACGAGCAGGAAGCUGACCCUGAAAUGGUGGACUAUGGAAAAGUAAAAUUUGUGGCUUCCUAAACAGUUCACCACACAACAACGACCUGCUUCUUUCUCCCUCUGCUUCUGUAAACAGCUUUGCAUAAUUUGGCCUCAGAAAAAAACCAGCUUUACCAUCAAGGCACUGGACCUUGAUUCCUCCAGCAUUUCUAGUAGGCCUUCUUGAGGCAUUUAUGAGUCAACCAAGACCUACCCGUUUGUGUUGCCUUGCGAGUUUCUCUUUCGCUUCUUCUAGCUCUUUCUGGAUCUUCAGAACGUGUUUAUUCAUCUUACGAAUCGUAGAAUGCAAGAUUUCCCAAACAAACAAUCU